GGAUUAGAUACCCUGGUAGUCCACGCCCUAAACGAUGUCAACUGGUUGUUGGGAGGGUUUCUUCUCAGUAACGUAGCUAACGCGUGAAGUUGACCGCCUGGGGAGUACGGCCGCAAGGUUGAAACUCGAAGGAAUUGACGGGGACCCGCACAAGCGGUGGAUGAUGUGGUUUAAUUCGAUGCAACGCGAAAAACCUUACCUGCCCUUGACAUGCCAGGAAUCUUGCAGAGAUGUGAGAGUGCUCGAAAGAGAACCUGGACACAGGUGCUGCAUGGCCGUCGUCAGCUCGUGUCGUGAGAUGUUGGGUUAAGUCCCGCAACGAGCGCAACCCUUGUCAUUAGUUGCUACGAAAGGGCACUCUAAUGAGACUGCCGGUGACAAACCGGAGGAAGGUGGGGAUGACGUCAGGUCAUCAUGGCCCUUAUGGGUAGGGCUACACACGUCAUACAAUGGCCGGGACAGAGGGCUGCCAACCCGCGAGGGGGAGCUAAUCCCAGAAACCCGGUCGUAGUCCGGAUCGCAGUCUGCAGCUCGACUGCGUGAAGUCGGAAUCGCUAGUAAUCGCGGAUCAGCUUGCCGCGGUGAAUACGUUCCCGGGUCUUGUACACACCGCCCGUCACACCAUGGGAGCGGGUUCUGCCAGAAGUAGUUAGCCUAACCGCAAGGAGGGCGAUUACCACGGCAGGGUUCGUGACUGGGGUG
rnacentral:rRNA from 1 species